AACGAACGCUGGCGGCAUGCCUAACACAUGCAAGUCGAACGAGACCUUCGGGUCUAGUGGCGCACGGGUGCGUAACGCGUGGGAACCUGCCCUUAGGUUCGGCAUAACUCCCCGAAAGGGGUGCUAAUACCGGAUAAUGUCUUCGGACCAAAGAUUUAUCGCCUUUGGAUGGGCCCGCGUUGGAUUAGCUAGUUGGUAGGGUAAAAGCCUACCAAGGCGACGAUCCAUAGCUGGUCAGUGAGGAUGAGCAGCCACACUGGGAGUGAGACACGGCCCAGACUCCUACGGGAGGCAGGAGUGGGGGAUAUUGGACAGUGGGCGGAAGCCUGAUCCAGCUAUGCCGCGUGAGUGAUGAAGGCCUUAGGGUUGUAAAGCUCUUUUACCCGGGAUGAUAAUGACAGUACCGGGAGAAUAAGCUCCGGCUAACUCCGUG
rnacentral:rRNA from 1 species